rnacentral:misc_RNA from 1 species
GAGAUGCGAUAAUUAAUGUGAAUUGCAGAAUUCAGUGAAUCAUCGAGUCUUUGAACGCACAUUGCGCCCCCUGGUAUUCCGGGGGGCAUGCCUGUCCGAGCGUCAUUGCUGCCCUCAAGCACGGCUUGUGUGUUGGGCUUCCGUCCCUGGCAACGGGGACGGGCCCAAAAGGCAGUGGCGGCACCAUGUCUGGUCCUCGAGCGUAUGGGGCUUUGUCACCCGCUCCCGUAGGUCCAGCUGGCAGCUAGCCUCGCAACCAAUCUUUUUAACCAGGUUGACCUCGGAUCAGGUAGGGAUACCCGCUGAACUUAAGC